CCAGGAGAAGGUGCACGUCAUCUGGAACCGGCUGAAGCUGCUCCUCAGGGAGGUGAACGUCGACCUGGAGGAGCUGGAGAGGAGGCUGGAGGAGGCCGGCCAGGGGAAGCAGGAGUCGCUGUCCCACGUGAACAAAGCCCACCUGUCGGGAACCCCUCGUCCCGUCUCCCUAGGGUCCGUCCCCAACCGGCGACGACUGCCCCGGGGCAAAAGUAGUCAGGCCCGCGCAGGAUACCCCAGCAGAGGCCCCCGCCACAGAGCCGCACUUACAGUUUUGGGGAUCAUGUUGGGAAGAGUGCCGAUACAUACUGGUUCUGCUGUGGCCAGCGCCUUGGGCUGGUGCUGUUGAUCCUAUCACCAGUCCUGACCGGUCCCACCCUCCAAGUCACUCCACCGCUGAUUCCAAAACAUCACGUUUAAUUAGUAUUUUGGACGUGUAGAAAUGACGACGUGGUCAAAAGCUACUAAUUAGGCACAUUGUCUAGGGCUAGGGUUAGGGAAAACAAACGGGUUAGGGUUAGGGUUAACCCUUAGUGUUAGAGAGAGAGAGAGAGAGAGAGAGAGAAACGGGUUAGGGUUAACCCUUAACCUAACCCGUUUGUUUUUAGGGUUAGGGUUAACCCUUAGGGUUAGAGAGAGAGAGAGAGAGACAGAGAAACGGGUUAGGGUUAACCCUUAACCUAACCCAUUUGUUUUUAGGGUUAGGGUUAACCCUUAGGUUUAGAGAGGGAGAGACAGAGAAACGGGUUAGGGUUAACACUUAACCUAACCCAUUUGUUGUUAGGGUUAGGGUUACCCUAAGCCGUUUGUUCUGAGCUCCAGGGUCCUGCGUGGAGCAGUGUGUGUCUGCGCAGCCUGAGAAGCGGUGGCCUUGGACGGCCUCUCUGGGCUGAGCAGCAUGACAUGGGGACGACAGGAGAGGCCUUCCUUGAUUGGCUCCUCUCCCGAGCAAAUCCCUCGUCACCGCUGGCUGCGCUUCCUCCCGUUCUGACCGGACGGGCGGCCUCUGGACCUCCUCCUCCCCUCCGGCGGGCCCCUCCUUCCUGCUCCGCGUGCUGCGUGCGGCGCUGCCGGUUCACCUCCUCCUGCUGCUGAUCCUCGGCCUCGCCUGCCUCGUGCCCAUGAGCCAGGAGGACUACAGCUGCCACCACGCCAACAACUUCGCCCGCUCCUUCCAUCCCAUGCUGAGCUACACCAACGGACCUCCGCCUAUAUGAGGCGCCUCCCCCAUCAAGGACCCCGAAGUCACCUGUACCGGGACCACACCCCCUCUAUGAGGACCGCCCCCCACGACCAUAUAUGGACCAGACAUCCGCCCAGUCCAUCGUGGCCUCUGUUCCGUGUGAGGACCGGACAGCCGCCCGUGUACGGGCAGAACUCUCCGCCCGUAUAAGGACUGUCCCUCCGCAGCUAGCUACCAGCUUUGCCAAGGACUCCGACACUCUGACUAGUAUGAAUGUUCCCUGUUCUUUCCCUGCAGGACCCCCGACUCCCACUCUCCCGACCCCAACUCCACGACCCCACCUCCCCUCCACCCCCACGCUGGGAGCAUAUGAAAUCCGAUGGAGUGUCUCCACCAGUAACACAAUGAGAACCAGUCCAUUAGAGCGUUCUGGGGCCAGUUGACUGAGGCCCUAGCGUCUCCAGGGUGAAGGGACUCAAGCCUCCUCCAUCCGAAUAAUAGCAGUUGUUUUUUUAUUCUUUCUUCGGAAAAAUGAAGUAUAUUAUUUUUGACGUAUUUUUUAUUUCUACGGUUGAAUCACAGAGCACUAUUUAUAUACAACCGCGUGCUGGGAGCCAAAGUCCACGGCGCUGUUCGUACUUCAGUGCUGCUACUAUUUAUUUUUUUCCGUUCGAUUGGAUUUGAAGAUUUGUUUGAUUUCACGAGGACACAGCACAGACUGUGGGAGAUUCUACCUGUAAAUCGUAGUUUAGGUAAAGUAUCAAACAUUCAUCUCUUUGAAGAGUUUCCAAAAUGAGAACUUUUCAAAAUUGACAUCAUGGUAAAAUCUUGCGAUUUUGAACACCGAGUGAUCCAAUGCCUUCGGAAUCGGCCGACGAUUUCUGAUGGACGCACUUUGUAUUUAAAAGAAAUGGCUGCCGUUAUUUUAUUUUGUUCCCGAGAUUUACAAAACUUUCGGAGACAAACUCAUCAUGGAAGGUAGCCGAUAGCUGAACCCUAACGCACUGAAACGAGCGCCUGAUUAUGGUUCCUCACCGAAGCCGUCCAGUCUUCCCCCAAGACAGCCAAAUGCUGGUGUCCCUGUUUUGAUCUCCUUUUAUAUCCAUUCUAGUAUUUCAAUAUUUAAUCACGUAGGGCAAACCUCGACACGCAGGAUGAGAUUCCGUUUAUUUUAUUUCUAUCGGUGAUUCAAAUGCCCCGCAAAACGCGGGCAGUUAUUUUUUUACCUUUUUAGUUCGAGCAUGCACUUCUGCAAGUCCUUUCUGCUUUUUAAGUUCGCCAACCAAUCACGGUCUGUGUACGGAGACGGAGGUGCGGAGGCGGGCGAAAAACAAUGCUUGGUGCUUUGUUACCGUGAGGACGACACCUCUGACGCGAUGGAGAUAUCUAGUCUGCGCUGUUUGAAACUGUAAAAAGAAACAUAAAAAAAAAAAAAGCCCGGACAUGGAAAUGGUUAUUUAUGUAUGUACAGUUUGCUAAUGCUGAAAUCAUGAAGAAUGUUCUUUACAUAUAGUAAAAAAAUAUAUAAAAUACACGUUUUCAGACUUGUUUUUGGCUGAGGAGACUAUUUCGAAUGAGGUAGCGAAACAAGGUCUGCAACAAUUUCACUAUUAGGACCUUUAUUUUAAUAAACAGUAAACAACACUCAUGUGGGAUCAACGGACACUAAAGUAGGUUUCUCUUUACACUCGCAGCCAAAGUGACUUCACUUUGGCCGUGAGUGAUUGCUAGCCGCAUCAAACGGCUAGCAAGGCACAGUAGUCAAAACAGCAAACUGGCACAGAUAUUGGGGACCAACAUGAAACUCAGACAAGCAACUUCAAAAAGAUGACCAAUUAUCAUUCAAUGGUGCAC
ensembl:lncRNA